UACGACUGGAAUCACACAUACACUGCCACAAGAGGUCUGCAGUGAAGGUCCCAAAGUCCCAGACAAGUCCCCUCUUGUUGCCCAGGCUGGAGUGCAGCAGCAUGAUUACAGCUCACAUCAGCCUCGACCUCCCGGGCUCAAGCUAUCCUCCUACCUCAGCCUCCCAAGUAGCUGGGACUAUAGCAAAAUCAUAGAAGGAAACUCUAUGGACAAUUUCAGAUGGAGAAGAAGAAAGGACUGGAAGUUCAAUUUGGCCAUGACAAUUAGAGGCCAGGUGCAGUGCAUGUAAUCCCAGCACUUUGGGAGACUGAGAUGGGAAGAUCGCUUGAGGCCAGGAGUGCAAGACCAGCCUGGGCAACACAGCAAGACCUUGACUCUACUAAAAAAAAAAAAGGAUCCUUCAACUUCAACAAUAAUAACACGAGGGAAGUGAAGAAAAACACUUUCUAAGGAAAUCUCUCUCUGAGCUACCAUCCUGCUAGGGAGAGCCUGAAAGCAGAAUGCUGACUUGACUAGCUCUGGUCAAUGAAAGAAAUCACUAGUGGAAAGGCUACCAGGGGGCUUUCUCAAAAGAGAGGGACAGUAAACUGCAAGAUGAACAACUCAAUGCCAUCCAGGUCUGGAUGAGAAAGAACAGUCGAGAGACUGAGUUUCAGGAGUGGAAACACCCAAAGCAUCAUCUUCCACUUUCUUCUCCGGCUGCUAGGAAGAAGGGAAAAACACAGACCUUCUGAGGACCUGUGGAGCAAACCACUGGCUUCAGAAAAGCAAACAGGGACUUCCCUCUGCGCAGCAGGAAGCAGUUAGCCUAGUCGGAGGCUUGACUGAAGAAACAAAUGUAUCCACUGAUAAUGGGCAAGAGCCUGAGGCUCUGGAGCCAAGGGGGAACCCUAAAAAGCUGAUUCAAGUAAGAGAAGCAAGGAUCAUGCAAUUCCACAUGGCCACCUCGAAGCAGGAAUCCGUUAAUGAUAGUAAAGGACUGAUGAAAAUCCA